GUGAAUCAUCAAAUUUUUGAACGCAAAUUGCGCUUCCUAGCAUCCCGGGAAGUAUGCCUGUUUGAGGGCCAGUAUUAACAAAAAAAUCGGUUUGGUUGCAAAUUGUGACGUUUCCGGAGUUUGGGCUAUCUUAACUUUUUUGGUUAAGGGGCUUAAAAUUGACCUUUUGUGCGCAUUUUUAGACGUACAUAAAUUUUUUUUUAUUUGUCUAUUCCUUAUGACAAAAUCUUAUUAGAUGAGAUCACAGCGUG
rnacentral:misc_RNA from 1 species